UACGGGGGGGGGCAAGCGUUGUUCGGAAUUCCUGGGCGUAAAGGGCGCGUAGGUGGCGCGGGAAGUCAACGGUGAAAGCUCAGGACUCAACCCUGAGUCGGCCGUCGAUACUCCCGGGCUCGAGCACUGUAGAGGCAGGUGGAAUUCCGGGUGUAGCGGUGGAAUGCGUAGAGAUCCGGAAGAACACCGGUGGCGAAGGCGGCCUGCUGGGCAGUUGCUGACACUGAGGCGCGACAGCGUGGGGAGCAAACAGG
rnacentral:rRNA from 1 species